rnacentral:rRNA from 2 species
GACGAACGCUGGCGGCGUGCCUAAUACAUGUAAGUCGAACGAACUCUGGUAUUGAUUGGUGCUUGCAUCAUGAUUUACAUUUGAGUGAGUGGCGAACUGGUGAGUAACACGUGGGAAACCUGCCCAGAAGCGGGGGAUAACACCUGGAAACAGAUGCUAAUACCGCAUAACAACUUGGACCGCAUGGUCCGAGUUUGAAAGAUGGCUUCGGCUAUCACUUUUGGAUGGUCCCGCGGCGUAUUAGCUAGAUGGUGGGGUAACGGCUCACCAUGGCAAUGAUACGUAGCCGACCUGAGAGGGUAAUCGGCCACAUUGGGACUGAGACACGGCCCAAACUCCUACGGGAGGCAGCAGUAGGGAAUCUUCCACAAUGGACGAAAGUCUGAUGGAGCAACGCCGCGUGAGUGAAGAAGGGUUUCGGCUCGUAAAACUCUGUUGUUAAAGAAGAACAUAUCUGAGAGUAACUGUUCAGGUAUUGACGGUAUUUAACCAGAAAGCCACGGCUAACUACGUGCCAGCAGCCGCGGUAAUACGUAGGUGGCAAGCGUUGUCCGGAUUUAUUGGGCGUAAAGCGAGCGCAGGCGGUUUUUUAAGUCUGAUGUGAAAGCCUUCGGCUCAACCGAAGAAGUGCAUCGGAAACUGGGAAACUUGAGUGCAGAAGAGGACAGUGGAACUACAUGUGUAGCGGUGAAAUGCGUAGAUAUAUGGAAGAACACCAGUGGCGAAGGCGGCUGUCUGGUCUGUAACUGACGCUGAGGCUCGAAAGUAUGGGUAGCAAACAGGAUUAGAUACCCUGGUAGUCCAUACCGUAAACGAUGAAUGCUAAGUGUUGGAGGGUUUCCGCCCUUCAGUGCUGCAGCUAACGCAUUAAGCAUUCCGCCUGGGGAGUACGGCCGCAAGGCUGAAACUCAAAGGAAUUGACGGGGGCCCGCACAAGCGGUGGAGCAUGUGGUUUAAUUCGAAGCUACGCGAAGAACCUUACCAGGUCUUGACAUACUAUGCAAAUCUAAGAGAUUAGACGUUCCCUUCGGGGACAUGGAUACAGGUGGUGCAUGGUUGUCGUCAGCUCGUGUCGUGAGAUGUUGGGUUAAGUCCCGCAACGAGCGCAACCCUUAUUAUCAGUUGCCAGCAUUAAGUUGGGCACUCUGGUGAGACUGCCGGUGACAAACCGGAGGAAGGUGGGGAUGACGUCAAAUCAUCAUGCCCCUUAUGACCUGGGCUACACACGUGCUACAAUGGAUGGUACAACGAGUUGCGAACUCGCGAGAGUAAGCUAAUCUCUUAAAGCCAUUCUCAGUUCGGAUUGUAGGCUGCAACUCGCCUACAUGAAGUCGGAAUCGCUAGUAAUCGCGGAUCAGCAUGCCGCGGUGAAUACGUUCCCGGGCCUUGUACACACCGCCCGUCACACCAUGAGAGUUUGUAACACCCAAAGUCGGUGGGGUAACCUUUUAGGAACCAGCCGCCUAAGGUGGGACAGAUGAUUAGGGUG